GAGGAGUAUUGGUCAAUGGGCGAGAGCCUGAACCAGCCAUCCCGCGUGAAGGAAGAAGGCGCUAUGCGUUGUAAACUUCUUUUCCAGGGGAAGAAAACCCCCGACGUGUCGGGGCUUGCCGGUACCUUGGGAAUAAGCAUCGGCUAACUCCGUGCCAGCAGCCGCGGUAAUACGGAGGAUGCGAGCGUUAUCCGGAUUCAUUGGGUUUAAAGGGUGCGUAGGCGGACUAAUAAGUCAGUGGUGAAAACCUGCAGCUUAACUGUAGACGUGCCAUUGAUACUGUUAGUCUUGAGUAUGGUCAAGGUAGGCGGAAUGUGUAAUGUAGCGGUGAAAUGCUUAGAUAUUACACAGAACACCGAUUGCGAAGGCAGCUUGCUGGGCCAUUACUGACGCUGAUGCACGGGAGCGUGGGGAGCGAAC
rnacentral:rRNA from 1 species